AAGUACUUUCACUGAUGGCAU
rnacentral:siRNA from 1 species